rnacentral:rRNA from 1 species
UACGAAGGGGGCUAGCGUUGUUCGGAAUUACUGGGCGUAAAGCGCGCGCAGGCGGUCUUCCAAGUCAGUGGUGAAAGCCCGGAGCUCAACUCCGGAACUGCCAUUGAAACUGUAAGACUUGAGGAUGAGAGAGGUGAGUGGAAUUCCCAGUGUAGAGGUGAAAUUCGUAGAUAUUCGCAAGAACACCAGUGGCGAAGGCGGACUCACUGGCCCCGAUACUGACGCUGAGGCACGAAAGCGUGGGGAGCAAACAGGG